CUUGGUCAUUUAGAGGAAGUAAAAGUCGUAACAAGGUUUCCGUAGGUGAACCUGCGGAAGGAUCAUUAUCACGUAUCCACGUAUAACCAUUGUGAACUGUACUUUACCCCUUUGUCGUGCAUGAGGUCGUGAGAUGGGUAACAUUAAAGGCUAAGUUCUGUAGUGAUUUAUAGCCCGUUACUCUGUUUCCAUGGAAGAGAAGUUUCGACUUUUCUAAACAUACUCGUACACUUCAGAGCGUAUUAAAAUUACUAUUUUUUGUUUAACAAUUUUAACCCAAUUUUGAACAUUGACUUAACUUUUUCAUACGCCUAGGCGAUGAAAUUCAUUACGAAACAUAAGAACAACUCUUAGCAACGGAUAUCUUGGUUCUCGUAACGAUGAAGAACGCAGCGAAAUGCGAUACGUAACGCGAAUUGCAGAAUUCAGUGAAUCAUCAAAUCUUUGAACGCAAAUUGCGCUUUCUGGAUAGGCCAGGGAGCAUGCCUCUUUGAGUAUCGUUUCUACCCCAUCUCGGCAGCUUGCUGCUGGAAAUUGAGAGUCUCGGAUGAAAGUCUGAGUUUCUUUAAGAACAGUGAGUUCAAACUCCUAGUGUUAAAAAGCUUUCGGGCUUUUGCCUGUUAUCGGGUUUUUCUUUUCGCUAGUGACAUGGAUAAUUUAUUAUUUUAUGUUAUUGGUGAGAGGAGAGAUUAAGGUAAUAUGGUCAAGACAAUUAGAAUUGAACUUGUUUAGAAAAUUAUACAACUAAUUCUUGAAUUAGAUCUCAAAUGAAGCAAGAUUACCCGCUGAACUUAAGCAUAUCAAUAAGCGGAGGA
rnacentral:rRNA from 1 species